GCCGAGAUAGCUCAGCUGGUAGAGCAGCUGAUUCGUAAUCAGCAGGUCGUGGGUUCAAGUCCCAUUCUCGGCU
rnacentral:tRNA from 1 species